GAUGAACGCUGGCGGCGUGCUUAACACAUGCAAGUCGAACGGUGAAGCCAAGCUUGCUUGGUGGAUCAGUGGCGAACGGGUGAGUAACACGUGAGCAACCUGCCCUGGACUCUGGGAUAAGCGCUGGAAACGGCGUCUAAUACUGGAUAUGAGCCUCUAUCGCAUGGUGGGGGUUGGAAAGAUUUUUCGGUCUGGGAUGGGCUCGCGGCCUAUCAGCUUGUUGGUGAGGUAAUGGCUCACCAAGGCGUCGACGGGUAGCCGGCCUGAGAGGGUGACCGGCCACACUGGGACUGAGACACGGCCCAGACUCCUACGGGAGGCAGCAGUGGGGAAUAUUGCACAAUGGGCGGAAGCCUGAUGCAGCAACGCCGCGUGAGGGAUGACGGCCUUCGGGUUGUAAACCUCUUUUAGCAGGGAAGAAGCGAAAGUGACGGUACCUGCAGAAAAAGCACCGGCUAACUACGUGCCAGCAGCCGCCGUAAGAC
rnacentral:rRNA from 1 species